rnacentral:lncRNA from 1 species
CCGCGCUGCCUGUCAAGGCGCCGUCGCCCGCCCUCGGCGGCCCCUCCCCAACCGCUCGCUCGCUCGCCACCACAGCAGCAGCGGGCGUCAACAAUCCGCCUCCGGAAGCGGAAACCCCACCUCUCCGGCGCGCCAGGCUUGGGGAGCCGGGCGGGCGGUUGGUGGUGCUUUGUGAGUUGGUUCCUGGGCUACGCGAUGUUUCUCGGGGGUCCUCUGUGAACCCAAGGCUUGCUGGUUGGUUCCUGUAGCAUCCAUGAACAUUACCCACGAAAUCUGGCACAAGGAAAGACUGUCGUAGGGUUAAGACUCGAUCUCACUUGGAAAUAUGAGACUGGGGUGAAGGAAAAGCAAAGUCAGCUGAACGGGAGCAGGGUACGUGGAGAAAACGACUAUCACAUAAAGGGGAAAGUCUAUUAUGUUGGGUGGUGUUUGGUUGGGGCAAACAUGUGAAGGAGUGUUUUCCUGAACUGGACACAGAUUUAGGUAGAGUUGUGAGGGAACGCUUGACUAAAGUAGACCCAGGUGAACGGAUGUUCUGCUAAAGCA